UACGUAGGGUGCAAGCGUUAAUCGGAAUUACUGGGCGUAAAGCGUGCGCAGGCGGUUAUGUAAGACAGGUGUGAAAUCCCCGGGCUUAACCUGGAACUGCAUUUGUGACUGCAUAGCUAGAGUACGGUAGAGGGGGAUGGAAUUCCGCGUGUAGCAGUGAAAUGCGUAGAUAUGCGGAGGAACACCGAUGGCGAAGGCGGUGAUCUGGGCCGACACUGACGCUGUAGAGCGAAAGCGUGGGAGCGAAC
rnacentral:rRNA from 1 species